UGAAACAUUCUGUUCACCGCCAAUAAGAACCCUUGCUCCUCAAAACUCCCCCCUCUCUCGACCACCGAAGAAAACCCUACCUCACUCAGAUUUUGAAACCGAAACCCGACCCGUCGAAGGAGAGAUCCGCCUGAAGCACACCAUUCUGUCCUAACGAGGCACUGAGUUUGUAUCAAAACAUUAUACGAGCUACCGACUUCUUCAUGUGGCCGAAAUCUCCAGGUGUCCUCUGGCGCGAUGUAUUGACAGAGAAUGCUCGAAAGGAGUUCGAAGACGCCCGAUUUGAGAAGGAUCUGGAAAUUGUCGCUCCUCUGAUGUUUGGAGGGCCGGAUGUCUGCAGUCAGCUGUUGAUAAGCUUGUCAAGAAGCAAAAGCAGCAAAUUUAGGAUGAAAGCAAUGAAUCAAAUCGACGUUGAAGUUUUUUGGUAAUAAUUGAAUUAAAUUUUGAUUAUUUUGUUGAUUAAUUUUAGUGUCGAUUGAUUUUAUAUUCUUUACCUUAUUUUAUCUGAAAAUAUAGAUGCAGUCAUUUGUAAUAUUUUAGUUGUGAAAAUUUAAGCCUUAUGCGAGAACGGUGGGAGUCCGGUUACAGAAUUGGGGAUUUUUUGGAAGAAUCAUUUUUUAUUUUUUACUUUUUUUAUUUAGUUUGUAAAUUUGAUAUUCUGUGCUAGUUGCUAUUCUAAAAUUUGCUCUGUUAUUUGCAUUUAUAUAUUUGUUCUCAUUGUCCUGAUCAUUUCUUAAGGGAUGAAUACUGUCCCACUUGUAGAAUAAGGAUAUAUUUGUGUUCGAUUAGAACAUCACAACUUAAUUAUGUAUUUGCUAGGCUUGGAAAUCUUGGGUUUUCCAAGCAUUUUUCAGACUUGUCGUUUCCUUCUCAAUGGUACAUACAUUUUUGGAAGUCCUGCUGCUAAUGAUUGACUGAAUUUGGAGGAUGAAAAAUCUGUCACUACCAGUGAUCUUUGAUAUACCGAUGUGUAGUUCGAGAGAAUGUAUUUAUAGCAUUAUAUAAACGCCUUUAUGUAUACAUAUGAAUUUAAU
rnacentral:lncRNA from 1 species